rnacentral:rRNA from 1 species
GGGCACUCUAACGGUGGAACCUGCCGGCGUAAAGUACGGAGGAAGGUAGGGGAGGUGACGUCAAAUCAUCAUGCCCCUUAUGACCUGGGCUACACACGUACUACAAUGGCCGUUACAACGGGAAGCGAAGGAGCAAUCCGGAGCAAAUCCCUUAAAGGCGGUCCCAGUUCAGAUUGUGGGCUGAAACUCGCCCACAUGAAGGCGGAAUUGCUAGUAAUUGCAGAUCAGCAUGCUGCAGUGAAUACGUUCCCGGGCCUU